GUUCGGUAAAACCUACCCAGAGUUGGACAUAAAUUGACAACUCUACCGAACGUGCAGGAACAGGAUUAGACCUACGAUUUUUGAGUCAUGACACCAAUAAAUGAACGCCAGUUUAUUGCUCUGUC
rnacentral:sRNA from 21 species